UCUCCAGACUCCUACGGGAGGCAGCAGUGGGGAAUAUUGCACAAUGGGGGAAACCCUGAUGCAGCGACGCCGCGUGAGCGAUGAAGUAUUUCGGUAUGUAAAGCUCUAUCAGCAGGGAAGAAGAUGACGGUACCUGACUAAGAAGCCCCGGCUAACUACGUGCCAGCAGCCGCGGUAAUACGUAGGGGGCAAGCGUUGUCCGGAUUUAUUGGGUUUAAAGGGUGCGUAGGCGGAAUGCCAAGUCAGCGGUAAAAUCGCGGGGCUCAACCUCGCUCCGCCGUUGAAACUGGCGUUCUUGAGUGGGCGAGAAGUAUGCGGAAUGCGUGGUGUAGCGGUGAAAUGCAUAGAUAUCACGCAGAACUCCGAUUGCGAAGGCAGCAUACCGGCGCCCAACUGACGCUGAAGCACGAAAGCGUGGGUAUCGAACAGGAUUAGAUACCCGCGUAA
rnacentral:rRNA from 1 species